rnacentral:rRNA from 1 species
GCCGGUGGGGUAACCGCAAGGGGCCAGCCGUCGAAGGUGGGGUAGAUGAUUGGGGUGAAGUCGUAACAAGGUAGCCGUAUCGGAAGGUGCGGCUGGAUCACCUCCUUUCUAAGGAG